rnacentral:misc_RNA from 1 species
UGUGGGAGCGAGCUUGCUCGCGAUGGCGGCGGCACAUCCAACAUUCAUUCAAGCUGACCCACCGCUAUCGCGAGCAAGCUCGCUCCCACA